UUUGCAAUUAGUAAUAAACCUUAUGGGAAUGGAAAAGAAGAUUUGCCCAGAAGAAGUCAUGAUGGGAAGGAAGUGAGAAGAAUAAGAAGACAUGAAAUGGAUUCAGAAACUGAUUCUCCCAUUUUUACCAAUAAAUAUCUGCAGAGA